UCCAUCUUUGCCAACCAGAAGCAUGGAGAAAUAUUCAGGGCUGAUUUGGAAAUAAUUGCGGAUGUCUUUCACCAGUGACUCCAUUCUCCACAUCCUAAUUUGUGGUAAAUGAGCUACACCUGGCAAAAAAAGGAAACAAUAUCUUAAAUAUUUCUUUUAACCAUCUUAAGGAUCAGAUCCACUGGAAUCAAGCUAAAGAAAAUACUGAAGAUCCCUCAGAAAUAGUCACCACAUCAUUCCUCAGAGGCCCUUCAGCAAGGACAACACUGAAACCAG